UGUUUUAUGGUGUAAAUAACACAUUGUAUUUUCGUUACAAAACUGAAAUAUUAACCUUUUCUAGAACAU
rnacentral:tRNA from 1 species